rnacentral:rRNA from 1 species
UUCCAGACUCCUACGGGAGGCAGCAGUGGGGAAUAUUGGGCAAUGGGCGCAAGCCUGACCCAGCAACGCCGCGUGAAGGAAGAAGGCUUUCGGGUUGUAAACUUCUUUUCUGAGGGACGAAGAAAGUGACGGUACCUCAGGAAUAAGCCACGGCUAACUACAUGCCAGCAGCCGCGGUAAUACGGAGGAUGCGAGCGUUAUCCGGAUUUAUUGGGUUUAAAGGGUGCGUAGGCGGAAUGCCAAGUCAGCGGUAAAAUCGCGGGGCUCAACCUCGCUCCGCCGUUGAAACUGGCGUUCUUGAGUGGGCGAGAAGUAUGCGGAAUGCGUGGUGUAGCGGUGAAAUGCAUAGAUAUCACGCAGAACUCCGAUUGCGAAGGCAGCAUACCGGCGCCCAUCUGACGCUGAAGCACGAAAGCGUGGGUAUCGAACAGGAUUAGAUACCCCGGUAA